rnacentral:rRNA from 1 species
UACGGGGGGGGCAAGCGCUGUCCGGAUUCAUUGGGCGUAAAGGGCGCGCAGGCGGCCCGGAAAGUCGGAUGUGAAAACUCGGGGCUCAACCCCGAGCGUGCACCCGAUACUGCCGGGCUUGAGGCAGGUAGGGGAGAUCGGAAUUCCUGGUGUAGCGGUGAAAUGCGCAGAUAUCAGGAGGAACACCGGUGGCGAAGGCGGAUCUCUGGGCCUGUCCUGACGCUGAGGCGCGAAAGCUAGGGGAGCGAACAGG